AUGAGUGGGAACAACUUUGGGGACAGCAUGGGGUGGGGCAGAUCGUCCGGCUCCAGGAAGGGCAAGAGAGGCGGCAGCAGCAGCGGCGGCAGUGGCGCCGACAAGCCGAAGCAGCCGCAGCGGGGGCUCGGCGUGGCGCAGCUCGAGAAGAUUAGGUUACAGAGCGAAAUGGCUGAGUACUUCCAUCCUCUUGGUGGUCAGCCACCGAGCUUGAUCCACAGAACGGCCAGCCUCAAUUUGGAGGAUACGCGGGCGUCAACGUCCUCGCUCUCAUCGUCCCCAUCGUCCCCCUUCCAGGCUACCGCCGUCUCGUCGGCCUUCCCGGUCCAUCCGAAUUUUGGGAUGGCAUAUGGGGAGAGAGGAGACGCUCGAUAUGGUGAAUUCCAGACUCCCAUCGUAAGAUCACCAAGCAGCAGCACUAUCUACGGGCCACCACAUUACGCGCAUCCUGGUGUCACAUUGCCACUGUUUGCACCAGAGGAAUCUACCCGUCUGAGAGGGCACCAUGACCGGAGCCGGUCGGCUGAUUCGACGAGUAUGAAUUCCGACGAUCCAGAAGACGUGGAUCUCGAGCUCAAGCUAUGA
rnacentral:rRNA from 1 species